UUUUUUUCAAAGACUUUACUGAUAUUCUUGGAGGAAAUUGUGAGAUGAACCGACUUGAAGAUAUCAUUGGUGUGGUUCAGGAAAUCAACAAUUUUCAAUACAACAAUUCUGGAAAAAAGUCAUUUGUUUCACUGAGUCUUAAAGACUUGAAAGGAGUCAUUGUUAACUGCACAUUAUGGGAGAGCUACG